CAGAGCGGCCAAGUCCAGAGAGCUUCAGAGGGAGUUCAAACUCAGAAGAUCUGACUUUGUCAACUCUUUACAGACAUUCUUGUGAAAAAUAAACACGGCUGUCUCACUGUUGGCUGACUGAAGCACGACGAUUAACUAGAGCUGGGCGAAUUCUGUGUAGUUCAGUGUGAACUUGCCAGUUCUCUGACGGUUUCAUCUCCACCAUCCCUCUGACUGGCCAACGUUUAUUCCAGAUACUGGGCGCUUGCUCUGUUACCAAGAGCAGCAGCAAGGAAGAGCAGCAGGAGCAGGACACUGAGGUACCGCGGCAGGAAGCAGCAGUGGGAAGCGUGACGUCUUUACCCAGGUGUUGGCUGCCAGAGGUAAGAGAUCCUCGGCCCGGGGUUGGCGAGGGUGGGAAUUAGCACAUGGUAGUUUAGGGUUAAGUAUGUGCUCAUGCACACACAUGGAGCAGUUGUGGAGAGCAGCUGAGGCCAUGAAGGAAAUUCAUACCAAUUUGGGUUAGCCCACAUUUUGUCAUGUUACCAAAAAUAUUCUGUAAAUAAAUAUAUUAAUGGGCCACUUGUAGAUAGCA
rnacentral:lncRNA from 1 species